CUUGUAGGCAGUAGCAAUAUUUGAUGACAUCAGUUCUCGAAUGAUCACUGAAGGUAAGCAGCGUUGUGCUUGGUGAGUAUCCGGUUGGGUGACCGUUUGGACAAUCUCGUGACCUUUCCAGC
rnacentral:rRNA from 1 species